CGCUGGCGGCGUGCCUAAUACAUGCAAGUCGAACGGUCUUUUCUAUGGAAGCUUGCUUCCACUGAGAAGAUAGUGGCGAACGGGUGAGUAACACGUGGGUAACCUGCCCAUAAGAGGGGGAUAACAUCCGGAAACGGGUGCUAAUACCGCAUAGUUUUCUUGAUCGCAUGAUCGGGAAAGGAAAGACGGCCUUUGUGCUGUCGCUUAUGGAUGGACCCGCGGCGUAUUAGUUAGUUGGUGAGGUAACGGCUCACCAAGACGAUGAUACGUAGCCGACCUGAGAGGGUGAUCGGCCACAUUGGGACUGAGACACGGCCCAAACUCCUACGGGAGGCAGCAGUAGGGAAUCUUCCGCAAUGGACGAAAGUCUGACGGAGCAACGCCGCGUGAGUGAAGAAGGUUUUCGGAAUCGUAAAACUCUGUUGUCAGAGAAGAACAAGUUGGAGAGUAACUGCUCCAGCCUUGACGGUAUCUGACCAGAAAGCCACGGCUAACUACGUGCCAGCAGCAGC
rnacentral:rRNA from 1 species